UACGGAGGGGACUAGCGUUGUUCGGAAUUACUGGGCGUAAAGCGCACGUAGGCGGAUCAGUCAGUCAGGGGUGAAAUCCCGGGGCUCAACCCCGGAACUGCCUUUGAUACUGCUGGUCUGGAGGUCGAGAGAGGCGAGUGGAAUUCCGAGUGUAGAGGUGAAAUUCGUAGAUAUUCGGAGGAACACCAGUGGCGAAGGCGGCUCGCUGGCUCGAUACUGACGCUGAGGUGCGAAAGCGUGGGGAGCAAACAGG
rnacentral:rRNA from 1 species